rnacentral:hammerhead_ribozyme from 1 species
GCACUGCCGAGGAGUCCCACAAUAGGACGAAGUGGCCGUCCAGUGC